CCUCUCCUCCACUUCCCCCCUCCCCUCCGUCGCGCCGCCCCCGCCUCCCCAUCGCGCUGGCCCGGUCUCCCCGCGCAAUCCCUAUCCGCUGCCACCCCAUCUCGCCAGCCCCGCCUCCCCAUCGCGUCCGUCCUCUCCUGCGCCGGCCCCGCCUCCCCACCGCGCCUCCUCUCUCCUGCGUCCGCCUCGCCUCCAUCUCCUGCACCUCCCCUCUCCUCUGCCGGCCCCGCCGCCCCUCUCCUCCCCCAGAUCUGCCUCCCUUAUUCUUGCCGCCGCCGCUCCCUUGACCCGCCGCCGCUGGGAGUUUGUCGUUGGUGCUGUCACGGCCGGAGGCAGUAGCAGCAGCCAUGAGUGACGGCGAGCGCCAUGACGACGAGAUUGCGACCACCAGCGCCGCAGAAGAGCGUUAGAGUGGCUUUCUAGAAGAAAUGGAGAUGAAAUGGCUCGGUGGUGAUUUUGCAAUUGGUCUCUGCACGCCUAUGUUGAAUCUCUUUUUUCUGGUCCUACAAUAGGUGGCAUGUAAAUUUAAUCAUGUAGGCUUCAGAGAAAUUACCGUGCAAGUUCCCUACCGGACUCUAACUUUCUCGAUGCAGGAUCCAGGACCAGAUUCUCGGAUAGUUUACAUGGAUGGUGCAUUUGGUCUGUUUCAUGCUGGACAUGUUGAGAUAUUACGGCUUGCUCAAGGGCUUGGAGAUUUCCUGCUUGUGGGUAUUCACACGGAUCAGACCAUAAGUUCUACAUGAGGACCACAUCGUCCAAUCAUGAAUCUCCGUGAGCGAAGUUUGAGUGUCCUAGCCGGCCGUUAUGUUGAUGAUGUAAUCAUUGGUGCUCUGUAGGAAGUUUCAAAACACAUGGGUCUGGACUCAUAACUGUGGCAACUGAGGCUAGGUCCUUAACUCUAUCCAUCAACAAGAAGCUUCAGUAAGAAGGUACUUUCCUUUGGUACAUGUCUCCAUGUGACAUCUAUAGCAGCAUGGUACUGUUAUUGAAUCAAGAAGAGACAUUGCUGGAGUGAAAGGUUGGUGAAGCCUUAUGGACACAGCACCUCCCUUGAUGAAGUUGUGUUCGUCCAGUCCUUGCAAUCAUGUGUUUAGAACUAGGUUGCUAUCUGUCUUAUCUUGAGUUCUUUCUAGUAAGCUGUUGUGGUUUUGCUUCCUUGUAAAUAUAGUCUUGUAAAUGAAUUUGUGAUUGUAUCGAAUGAAUGAAUGAAUUGCUGAUUGUAUAAAUGAAUUGGUGAAUUGUAUUUGGAUUUUUUGUAAAA